UAAUGACACCAUCUUUCAAAAUAUACACAGUGCAAGCAUUUCUGCACUAAGUCGUGUACUUGCGCGCCACAGAAUAAGAAUGAAGCAAAUUUACAGAGUUCCUUUCGAGAGAAACACAGAACGUGUAAAGCAACUGCGAUAUGACUAUGUGCAGAGAGUGAUGGAACUAGAAGCAGAUGCAAUGGGACAUGAGCUACUUUUUGUGGAUGAGGCCGGUUUUAACCUCAGUAAAACCAGGAGACGUGGCAGGAACAUUAUUGGACACCGUGCCAUCAUCAAUGUCCCAGGACAACGUGGUGGUAACAUAACCAUGUGUGCAGCUAUAAGCCAAAAUGGUGUUGUUCACCAUCAUGCAACCA